CUGCCUGGUAGUGGGGGAUAACGUCCGGAAACGGGCGCUAAUACCGCAUACGUCCUGAGGGAGAAAGUGGGGGAUCUUCGGGCCUCACGCUAUCAGAUGAGCCUAGGUCGGAUUAGCUAGUUGGUGGGGUAAAGGCCUACCAAGGCGACGAUCCGUAACUGGUCUGAGAGGAUGAUCAGUCACACUGGAACUGAGACACGGUCCAGACUCCUACGGGAGGCAGCAGUGGGGAAUAUUGGACAAUGGGCGAAAGCCUGAUCCAGCCAUGCCGCGUGUGUGAAGAAGGUCUUCGGAUUGUAAAGCACUUUAAGUUGGGAGGAAGGGCAGUAAGUUAAUACCUUGCUGUUUUGACGUUACCAACAGAAUAAGCACCGGCUAACUGCGUGCCAGCAGCCGCGGUAAUACAAAGGGUGCAAGCGUUAAUCGGAAUUACGGGGCGUAAAGCGCGCGUAGGUGGUUCAUCAAGUUGGAUGUGAAAUCCCCGGGCUCAACCUGGGAACUGCAUCCAAAACUACUGAGCUAGAGUACGGGAGAGGGUGGUGGAAUUUCCU
rnacentral:rRNA from 1 species